rnacentral:rRNA from 1 species
UACAGAGGUCCCGAGCGUUGUUCGGAUUCACUGGGCGUAAAGGGUGCGCAGGUGGGUUGGCAAGUUUGAUGUGAAAGCCCCGGGCUUAACCCGGGAAUGGCAUUGAAUACUGCUGAUCUGGAGGAUCGGAGGGGGGACUGGAAUUCUUGGUGUAGCAGUGAAAUGCGUAGAUAUCAAGAGGAACACCAGUGGCGAAGGCGAGUCCCUGGACGAUUCCUGACACUGAGGCACGAAAGCCAAGGGAGCAAACAGG